CUUUGUCAAACGUGACCUAUUGUCAUGCUAUCUUACCAUUGCUCCACACUCUGCUUUAUUUAUUUAUUUAUUUAUUUAUUUAUGUGUUUUGCUUUGUUUUCUGUGGCUUUGGUUUGCCAGUUCUGAAAUUUGGGAUUUUUUUUAAAAAUUUUUAUUUUUUUUUCCCCUGGAGUGUUUAGAAAUGCUUGUCUAAGAAAGUACUACUAAUGCUAUUCUCACUUACUCUACUACGUAGCCAAAUCCAGGCCAGCACUGUGAACUGUUUUCUUUUUACUGUCACACACUGGCAAUGUAGUGUGAGAUAGCUGACACUGAGGAUGUUUCUCCCUUUUGCUUUAGGUUUUUGGUAUUCUUUUUCUCAACAACAACAGCAUCUGGAAGCAAAGCAAGGGAUUUACUUAAGGCACAUUUGAGUUAGGCAGGGUAGUGCAAACACUGUCAUUUCUACUAAUGUUUUCCUCCAGAUUUUAAAACCGUGAAAAACAUCCCAUAUUUUAGAUAGGGAAACAGUGCCAGAAGAAAUUGACUUGUCAUUUGAUAAGUCUUAUGAUUAGUGUAAUAAAUUAAAUGGGUUGGGAUUUUUGCAAAUGAGGAAUCAGCUUUUGAUUGCUCAGUAAUUGACUAGAGUAACCAUCCGCCAAUAGCUGAUGGUUCAUUUCAUUUAAGUGAGUGAAGCUACUUUAUGAGCAAAAUAUGCUGGCCAGUGGUGAGUCUGUGCUACAGACAAGGUGAGUAGAUGGACAAUCAAUGGCUUAUUGGGGCUAUAAUGCACUGUAUUAAAAAAUUUAUGUAGCUUUUACUGUAAGCCAAAGUAGAAACAGUGUAAGGUGAUUUUUGGUUUUGUUUUGUUUUGUUUUUGUUUUUAGUAGUGAAAUAGAAGUUCCUUCUGCAAUAAAGCCAGUAACACUUUUCGUCACAAGGUGGUAGCAGAUGUGAGAGUCACUGUAGGACCACUGAAGAUCAAAGGACCAGAACAUCUCUCUGGCGGAGACUGAGAUUGCUGAGACUGUUCAGCCUGGAGAAAGAAAGACUGAGAGCGGAUCUUAUCAAUGUCUAUCGGUCCUGGAAGGAAUGGUACAGAAAAGAUGGAGCCAGGUUCUGUGCAGUGGUACCCAGUGUGAGGACGAGAGGCAAUGAGUACAAAUCAGAACACAGGAUGUCCCCUCUGAACACCAG
rnacentral:lncRNA from 1 species